CCUUGUUACCCUAAUUUUUCAUCCCUGCUCCCAAAUUUGCCCUCAUUCAAUGAGGUUUCACUCAAUUUUUACGUAUCUUGGAGUUAAAUAUUCAAUGAUGAAAUCAAUUCUUUGGUUGGUUAUGGCAAUUAAAUCGUUGAUGAUUGAUGAUCAUUGAAACUGGGUGGGAGCGAUUAAAGGAAACCGAUGAAUCCCACCGCCACCUUCUUAAACAUCAUUCGACUUUUCCCUUCCCUCUUCCGGUACAGAAAUCCUCCAGGUUAGGGUUUUCUUUAUAUACCAAUUACAUCAGUUGAUUGAUGAUUAUCUAUAUAAUAACAAUCGCCGUGCCCUAUCAAUCAAUCAGCUGCUCAUUCACACACAUCAUCAGUCGCUUUGCAGGGGUGUUCUGAGGUCAAUUCGAAUCAUCUUUUCUUGUAUAUAUUUCUAUGUCUAUGUAUCAUCUUCUAAUCUCGUUUUGUGUAUCGAUCGAAAACGAAUUUGUUGAUUUAGUAUGUUAUGCUUGAUUUUAUUUUCAUCGUUCCAGUUUGAUCUUCGUAAUCUCCGUUUUAUACACAACUGAUUUUGUCGAGAUCAGGUGACUUUGAUGUGCUGUAUCUAGAAAUUCAUCUCUCUGAUGGUAAGAAUCGUCUACGCCGUGCACACACUAGACACGACUCGAAGAGUGGAAGGUAAUUUUGCUUUUUCUUUACUUCACAAUUCAUAACUUGCUGAUCUGGAAACUGUUUUGCGCUGAAUUCUAAAUUCGAAUGUGAGUUAUGUAUAGUCAUUUUUGUUAAUUUGUUAUCAGCUUUCAUAUACUUUACAUCUUGUUUAUUAUUAUUAUUAUUAUUUUUUGUGAUUUUGGAUAUGAACAACAAUGGAUCAGUGAUCUAAGUUUUUUUUUCUUUUUUUCCAUUUGAUUAUGCUUGAUCUAAAGAUGUUUAGACACUAUUGUGAUCUACCGAGGACAAGUUUUUGGGUUCAUGUUAUGGUUAUAAUGUUGUAUAAUAAGGUUUAUAGUUAUAUACUUUAUAGUUUUAAUUUUACUAUCAAUGUUAUUUGGGUUUUUAAUUUAGGUUAAGGCUAUUCAAUUUACGAACUCUUAUGUUACUGUUUGACUUUUGUUAGGGUUUUGUUGAUAUUUUUUUACCUACAUUGCAUCCUUAUUUAUAUAUCUUUUUAUACUGACAUGUACUUAAAUUUUAUUAUCAUUGAAGCUGGUUUCUUAGCGUUUCUUGCUCUUCGUUGUUGCUUUGUUGUAUCUUCGCUCGCCAGCUUACGACUUCGUUGGUGAUUAUUGGGAAACCGUUUGAAGCCUAAAUAUUUACCUUUACCCGUACUUAAGGCUAGUCUUCAAAUACAGAAAUCAUGAUUCAAUAGUGGUAUUUCACGGGUUACGCGGAAUUUGAAUAUCGAGUACUAAUUAAUUAACGUUAUGUUCAAGGGCGUAGCUUUGUGGGGGCGGGAGGGGGCGGCCGACCCCCCGAACUUUUCGCUCAGUAGUGGAGGGUACGUAGUUUUCGUUUAGAAAUUUUUGGGUAUAUACGUUUUUGACCCCCAGUUUUAUAGAAAUUUUUGGUAUAUACGUUUUCGACCCCCCGGUCGAAAAUCUCAAGCUUCGCCACUGAUUAUGUUUAUGUUGAAGGAGUUGAAAUGGCAGAUGAUCAUUGAGAAACGCCUAGAUUUGGUACAGUUUAGUCCAACUAGGAAUCUUUACACAACACCACAUGUGGCAGCAAUAGUAAAAGAGACCAGGGAGACCAUACAUUUUGUAUAUUUGUGUUUUGUAUGUAUAUGAGAGUAAAUUGAAGGCUCAGGGAGCAAACGGAAACUUAGAUGAGGUUUGUUUUGGAUGUUGAUAGUUUUGUUGAAUAUGAAAAUAUGUAUCCUGGGCAAA